rnacentral:rRNA from 1 species
UACGGAGGAUGCGAGCGUUAUCCGGAUUUAUUGGGUUUAAAGGGUGCGUAGGCGGCCAUUUAAGUCAGCGGUGAAAUUUUGCAGCUUAACUGUAACAGUGCCGUUGAUACUGGGGAGCUAGGAUUUGGUUGCUGUGGGUGGAAUGUGUGGUGUAGCGGUGAAAUGCUUAGAGAUCACACAGAAUAUCGAUUGCGAAGGCAGCUCACAAAGCCAAGAUUGACGCUGAGGCACGAAAGUGUGGGGAGUCAAACAGGA